AGGAUAAACGCUGGCGGCGUGCCUUACGCAUGCAAGUCGAACGGGGGGCUUCGGCCCCUAGUGGCGGACGGGUGAGGAACACGUACGUGACCUACCGCCGAGUGGGGGAUACCCGCCCGAAAGGGCGGCUAAUACCGCAUAGCCUCCCGCGGGGUGCCGGGGGAGGAAAGGCAGCGAUGUCGCUGGGUGAGGGGCGUGCGGCCGAUUAGCUAGCUGGUGGGGUAACGGCCUACCAGGGCGACGAUCGGUAGCUGGGCUGAGAGGCUGACCAGCCACACUGGGACUGAGACACGGCCCAGACUCCUACGGGAGGCAGCAGCGAGGAAUUUUGCGCAAUGGGCGACAGCCUGACGCAGCAACGCCGCGUGGGUGAGGAAGGCCUUCGGGUCGUAAAGCCCUUUUGUCGGGGACGAAGCUCUGACGGUACCCGACGAAGAAGCCACGGCUAACUACGUGCCAGCAGCCGC
rnacentral:rRNA from 1 species